rnacentral:sRNA from 6 species
GUCGUAGCAAAUUCUGCGACCGGGUUUAGCAGCCUGAAUACUUACGCGGACAACCGCAGAUUUCCGAUAUUGCGGUAUUUUU